ACGAACGCUGGCGGCACGCUUAACACAUGCAAGUCGAACGAGAGAAGAGAAGCUUGCUUUUCUGAUCUAGUGGCGGACGGGUGAGUAACACGUGAGCAAUCUGCCUUUCAGAGGGGGAUACCGAUUGGAAACGAUCGUUAAUACCGCAUAACAUAAUUGAACCGCAUGAUUUGAUUAUCAAAGAUUUAUCGCUGAAAGAUGAGCUCGCGUCUGAUUAGCUAGUUGGUAAGGUAACGGCUUACCAAGGCGACGAUCAGUAGCCGGACUGAGAGGUUGAUCGGCCACAUUGGGACUGAGACACGGCCCAGACUCCUACGGGAGGCAGCAGUGGGGAAUAUUGCACAAUGGAGGAAACUCUGAUGCAGCGAUGCCGCGUGAGGGAAGAAGGUUUUAGGAUUGUAAACCUCUGUCUUCAGGGACGAAAAAUGACGGUACCUGAGGAGGAAGCUCCGGCUAACUACGUGCCAGCAGCCGCGGUAAUACGUAGGGAGCGAGCGUUGUCCGGAAUUACUGGGUGUAAAGGGAGCGUAGGCGGGAUCGCAAGUCAGAUGUGAAAACUAUGGGCUUAACCCAUAAACUGCAUUUGAAACUGUGGUUCUUGAGUGAAGUAGAGGUAAGCGGAAUUCCUAGUGUAGCGGUGAAAUGCGUAGAUAUUAGGAGGAACAUCAGUGGCGAAGGCGGCUUACUGGGCUUUAACUGACGCUGAGGCUCGAAAGCGUGGGGAACUAACAGGAUUAAGUACCCUGGUAGUCCACGCCGUAAACGAUGAUUACUAGGUGUGGGGGGACUGACCCCUUCCGUGCCGCAGCAAACGCAAUAAGUAAUCCACCUGGGGAGUACGACCGCAAGGUUGAAACUCAAAGGAAUUGACGGGGGCCCGCACAAGCAGUGGAGUAUGUGGAUUAAUUCGAAGCAACGCGAAGAACCUUACCAGGUCUUGACAUCGUAUGCAUAGCUCAGAGAUGAGUGAAAUCUCUUCGGAGACAUAUAGACAGGUGGUGCAUGGUUGUCGUCAGCUCGUGUCGUGAGAUGUUGGGUUAAGUCCCGCAACGAGCGCAACCCUUACUGUUAGUUGCUACGCAAGAGCACUCUAGCAGGACUGCCGUUGACAAAACGGAGGAAGGUGGGGAUGACGUCAAAUCAUCAUGCCCCUUAUGACCUGGGCCUCACACGUACUACAAUGGCUGUCAACAGAGGGAAGCAAAGCCGCGAGGUGGAGCAAACCCCUAAAAGCAGUCUUAGUUCGGAUUGUAGGCUGCAACCCGCCUACAUGAAGUCGGAAUUGCUAGUAAUCGCAGAUCAGCAUGCUGCGGUGAAUACGUUCCCGGGCCUUGUACACACCGCCCGUCACGCCAUGGGAGUCGGUAACACCCGAAGCCUGUAGUCUAACCGCAAGGAGGACGCAGUCGAAGGUGGGAUUGAUGACUGGGGUG
rnacentral:rRNA from 1 species